GUUGCGUUGUUGUGGGUAGAAGCACGUCAAUGUUGCUCUUGCAAGGAGAGGUUGCAACACGUCAAUCAGUGUCCCGCCCCUGGAAAUCAUAGGCACAAGGGCACCGACGGUUUACACAACGCAUUCGGACCGCACCGCCUCGAACACUCACGCUGUACCCGACCAUUCCCGACCGAGACAUAAUGUGAUUUCCCCGGAGAGAAAGUC